AUAUACUGUUUGCUAUGGAAUGCAAAAACUUUGAAGCUCAAUAUCUCAAAAUCAUUCAGAACACAGAUAGAACCAUAUAAUUCUAAGGAGACGAUAUGACAAGUUUCUUGUACAUUUUAACUCUCCUGUAACCUCCAAAGAAUUUUCUCUUGUUUUCUCUGCAGUUAAUUCUAAUAUUCUUUCCUUUUUUUAGAGGUGUAACUUCAUUUAUAAGCCCAUAAUCAGUCUAGUUGAUGCAGUGUGUGGUAAAAUUAGUUUCUCACAGCCUAAAAAUAACAAAUUUAUUCGCUCUCUUUUUUAAAGCAAGUUGUAUUUAAACCUAGCUCUAUUACGUUUUGGAAUAAUUUUGUAAGAAUUCCUAAAUGGGAAAGUAUUUAGUCAUUGUCUCACAAAUUUUUAGUUACAAAUAAGAUAAAAGAAAUACAUUUUAAACGUAUUCAUAAAUUGUACCCGGUUAAACAUUUCCUCAGUAAAUUUAAAAGGGAUAUUGAUAUAAGUUGCUCUUUUUGUUCUUUGCAUUUGGAAACUGUACCCCACAUCUUUUGGCACUGAGGUUAUGUUAAAAAGCUUUGGUAUGAUGCGUCUGUUUUUAUAAAAGAAAAAAAAGGUACUCUUUAAUUUUAAUCUGCAUUUUAAAAACAUAUUCUUUGGAUAUUUUAAUUAUGAUCAUUUGAUAUGACAAAGUUUUUGUUAUUAACCUAUUUAUUUUGUUCAUUAAGUUUCAUAUUCUUAAGUGUAAAUUUUCCAACAUGAAACCCUGUUUUACUGUGUUUUAUAAGGAACUGAAAAAUUACUUUCGCACUAUUCAGCAUCGUGCUAAUCUAAGGCCAUUAAAACUGUCCAAUUUUCAAAAUUUUUGAUUAAAUGUAAAGGUCCUGCUUAUUUGUAAGAAUUGUUAUUUAUUUAUACUCUUGCUUUUAUGUUUGUUUAAUUUAUUUAUGUUUGUACUGUUGUUAUUAUUUACUUUCUAUCACCCUGGCAUUGUUUUGUUUACUAUAUUGUCAUGUAUCUGUUGUUUAAAGCAUAAUAAAAAAGAAGAAAGGAAAACAGUGUGCUGGUAUAACAUAGGUUACUUACUAUCAAUGUCUUUCUCAACAAAAAAGAAAUCUGAAAAUCUGUUGUUUUUUCUAGGAUGGUCAUUCCGAACCUGUGCUUGCGGAAGUGGCAAUGAUGCUCAGGUUGAUGAAUGACCCAACUUGUCCCAGCAUCAUCGGAUUACACCACUGGGUUGAGAAUAAGAAGGACUUCUAUCUCAUUCUGGAGUACGCAGAGUCAUCCCAGAUCUUGGCUCGUUACGUCAGACGUACAUCGGGCAUUGAUGAAAACCAAGCUCGCGGUUAAUGCGUCAGUUGAUCCAAGCCGUCAAGUUCUGCGCUGAGCGUGGAGUUUUCCAUGGUGAUAUCCACGCGGGGAACAUCCUGGUGAUUCAACCUCGAUUAGAGCUCAAACUGAUCGACUUUGGUUGUGCUCGACCAAUUACCAGCGAACCUUUCAAAAGCCGUGAUUAUGGAGGCGAGUUGGCAUUUUGUGUUGGUUUCUUUGGUCACAGUAUUGUCUUAUGAAAUGACUGAAUUCUGAAAAUGUCUCUCUUACAGGAGCCAUAGUUUACACACCACCUGAGAUCUUGAGGGAUCCCACAUUCUUUCCUAACCCGGCAUACGUCUGGACAAUAGGCCUCAUCCUGUAUGAAAUAUUGCACAGACGAUUGGCCUUUACCAACACACGUUCGAUAAUCAUUGGAAAACUUAAGACAGACCUCACCUUAUCUUCAGCAUGCCUGGAGCUGAUUUCCCAGUGUUUGGUCCGCCAUCCAGAGAAGCGGCUACAGUUACAUCAGGUUGAAGAGCACCAGUGGUUCAAUCCAACGAGCCCAAAUCCUGCGCAGCAGCUAGACAAGAGGAGAAAACACUAGAGAAGCGAGGAG